AUUGAACGCUGGCGGCAUGCCUUACACAUGCAAGUCGAACGGCAGCACGGGUGCUUGCACCUGGUGGCGAGUGGCGAACGGGUGAGUAAUAUAUCGGAACGUACCUUAUUGUGGGGGAUAACGCAGCGAAAGCUGUGCUAAUACCGCAUAAUCCCCAAGGGGGAAAGCGGGGGACCGUAAGGCCUCGCGCAAUUAGAGCGGCCGAUACCUGAUUAGCUAGUUGGUGAGGUAAAGGCUCACCAAGGCAACGAUCAGUAGCUGGUCUGAGAGGACGAUCAGCCACACUGGGACUGAGACACGGCCCAGACUCCUACGGGAGGCAGCAGUGGGGAAUUUUGGACAAUGGGGGCAACCCUGAUCCAGCAAUGCCGCGUGAGUGAAGAAGGCCUUCGGGUUGUAAAGCUCUUUUGUCAGGGAAGAAACAGCAGCUCUAACACUGUUUGCGAAUGACGGUACCUGAAGAAUAAGCACCGGCUAACUACGUGCCAGCAGCCGCCGUAA
rnacentral:rRNA from 1 species